rnacentral:rRNA from 1 species
AUUGAACGCUGGCGGCAGGCCUAACACAUGCAAGUCGAGCGGAAACGAGUUAUCUGAACCUUCGGGGAACGAUAACGGCGUCGAGCGGCGGACGGGUGAGUAAUGCCUAGGAAAUUGCCCUGAUGUGGGGGAUAACCAUUGGAAACGAUGGCUAAUACCGCAUAAUGCCUACGGGCCAAAGAGGGGGACCUUCGGGCCUCUCGCGUCAGGAUAUGCCUAGGUGGGAUUAGCUAGUUGGUGAGGUAAUGGCUCACCAAGGCGACGAUCCCUAGCUGGUCUGAGAGGAUGAUCAGCCACACUGGAACUGAGACACGGUCCAGACUCCUACGGGAGGCAGCAGUGGGGAAUAUUGCACAAUGGGCGCAAGCCUGAUGCAGCCAUGCCGCGUGUGUGAAGAAGGCCUUCGGGUUGUAAAGCACUUUCAGUCGUGAGGAAGGUAGUGUAGUUAAUAGCUGCAUUAUUUGACGUUAGCGACAGAAGAAGCACCGGCUAACUCCGUGCCAGCAGCCGCGGUAAUACGGAGGGUGCGAGCGUUAAUCGGAAUUACUGGGCGUAAAGCGCAUGCAGGUGGUUUGUUAAGUCAGAUGUGAAAGCCCGGGGCUCAACCUCGGAAUAGCAUUUGAAACUGGCAGACUAGAGUACUGUAGAGGGGGGUAGAAUUUCAGGUGUAGCGGUGAAAUGCGUAGAGAUCUGAAGGAAUACCGGUGGCGAAGGCGGCCCCCUGGACAGAUACUGACACUCAGAUGCGAAAGCGUGGGGAGCAAACAGGAUUAGAUACCCUGGUAGUCCACGCCGUAAACGAUGUCUACUCGGAGGUUGUGGCCUUGAGCCGUGGCUUUCGGAGCUAACGCGUUAAGUAGACCGCCUGGGGAGUACGGUCGCAAGAUUAAAACUCAAAUGAAUUGACGGGGGCCCGCACAAGCGGUGGAGCAUGUGGUUUAAUUCGAUGCAACGCGAAGAACCUUACCUACUCUUGACAUCCAGAGAACUUUCCAGAGAUGGAUUGGUGCCUUCGGGAACUCUGAGACAGGUGCUGCAUGGCUGUCGUCAGCUCGUGUUGUGAAAUGUUGGGUUAAGUCCCGCAACGAGCGCAACCCUUAUCCUUGUUUGCCAGCGAGUAAUGUCGGGAACUCCAGGGAGACUGCCGGUGAUAAACCGGAGGAAGGUGGGGACGACGUCAAGUCAUCAUGGCCCUUACGAGUAGGGCUACACACGUGCUACAAUGGCGCAUACAGAGGGCAGCAAGCUAGCGAUAGUGAGCGAAUCCCAAAAAGUGCGUCGUAGUCCGGAUUGGAGUCUGCAACUCGACUCCAUGAAGUCGGAAUCGCUAGUAAUCGUGGAUCAGAAUGCCACGGUGAAUACGUUCCCGGGCCUUGUACACACCGCCCGUCACACCAUGGGAGUGGGCUGCAAAAGAAGUAGGUAGUUUAACCUUCGGGAGGACGCUUACCACUUUGUGGUUCAUGACUGGGGUG